rnacentral:lncRNA from 1 species
GCAUUUUUAACUGUCAUAAUGCAAUCGUAUGCUCGAACAGCAUCAAUUGCUGGCUCAAAAUUGAACUUCUCUCCAUACUUGCGACGAAACAUAUUCAAGAAUUUAGAUCUGAAUCCUCUAUAUGCCUGGUUUUUGGGACGGUAGGUGAUUAUUCCUAUCGCAUCUUCAACAGGGGAGGAGAUUGCUGAAUGAUCUACUGAAGUUAGGAGAUUGGUGAAUGGUUUUUCAGCAAAUAUCCAAAUUGAAUCUCCGUAGAAGAGUCCCAUCUUCUUUGCUUCUUUGACAAAAUGAGUGCUUCUGGGUGACGACAAUCCUAGAACAAUAAAGAUUGGAGAUGCCUUUCCCUUCAGCUUCAUUAAAUUUUCUUCCAAAGACACUUCUGCUCCAGUUGGAGAUGAGAAUGCUUGAAGAAUCAGCUGGUCCUCUAUUGUUGAGCCGAUUUUUCCAAGCUCCUCUGACAAAGAAUUUAACAGCUUGGAGUACAUAGCAUCGUACGCCCCAGCCUCAUAUAUUAUUGAUACUCUUUGCCUGUUAUAAGAACCAACUACAUCUACGAUGCAUUUAAUUUGGUCGGAUUCAUUGGUACUCAUUCGAAACAGUGAAGGCCAUAGAGUUUGUGCCAUCAAUGUCGGUGUUACAUGGUCUCUGGCAAGGGAUAUGACUGGUAUCUGAGAUUGACUAGCAAUUUCGGCUACUAAAGUUGCUCCCUCCCAUGUCUCCAAGCCAAUAAUAACUUGCACAUUCUUCCUUUUGAUCAGCUUUUCAGCUGUUAAAACGGAAAAAAAGGGGAAAUCAUUAUACUUAAUUUUCGGAUUUAAGGGAUUUUUCUUUGCCAAUUUCUUCUGUUCAUAUCACUUAUUUAACCCUACUAAUUGGGUUCUUGGAAGAGAUUAUUUCAUCUCAACGGACAUUAGUGAGAUACAUGUCUAUGAGGAAGAAAAUCAAUCUACUGUAGUUAUAACAAAUCGUGCAAAAGCUUAUAGAUCCUUGUGUAUAUCAAGUACAAUUUGGUCAAUAAAGAAAGGGUUGCUUUUCUGCAAUGGUAAAAGAAUCAAGAAGUUCAUCCAUAACUCUUUUGGUGAAUGAUUUGACAUAAUCAUGGGGUGUCUUAAAUACACAACUUUAUUCUGUAAGGGUCUCAUUGUGUAGCAAUAUUACUAAACUGAACAACUUAUAGUAAACAUUCAGCACAUGCAGUGGAGAAAAAAGUAACAACAGGUACGUAAUCUCAAAGCAGACUUGGGGUGGUUUUUUCCUGUCACUGCUCGUGGCAACUGACAUGUUUCCAACAAAAAAAGUCGAAAUUAUUGCUGGCCGGAGUUACCAAACUGAGGAAGGGCAAGGAUUGACUAACCGGCUGAAAUUGCAUGAAGGGACUUCGCGUGGGAGUUUAUGUAAUACGGCUUCAUGAGAUGACUUCCUGAUGACGAGAUGCUGUUCACGUCUUGGCAUGCUAUCUCGAUCGCCAUACGCAUUUGGUUGCCGAGAUGUGAGUCCAAAUCAAGAAUCACGCCCACUUUGAACACGUUCCUCUCGUCUACGGCUUUGGUGGCUACACCAGAGUAGCUCGGGACGAGGAGCAGCGAGAGCAAGAGGAACAACCUCGAAAUGGACGGAACGUGUCUCCUACUUCUGUUACCCGAGCUUUGAAGAAAACCCAUGACGAAAACCUGAAUAACUCCUCAUAAACUAGAACAAGUGUCGAACUGUAUUGCUUUGCAAAUAAUUGUUGUGUGUUUGUCAUAAAAGGGGCGACCCAUUUCACAAUUCCUCCGUACAUAUAGUGAAGGGGGCGAGGGGUACACGUAAGUGCAAAGGAAGUGAUUUUCCAGGGAGAAAGGGAAGGAAAAUGAUUGAAUGCAAAUGUUUGGCAGCGUGUGGGGCAUGUACCGAAAAGUCAGUAUUGAAUUGGUCUUUCUAGGACUAAAGUGGUAUUUUUAAUUUCUUCCCGGAAAGUGUUUCUUGGACUGAAGCGAAGAGUCAAUGGUCAGUUCUCAUGGGGGGAGCCCACCCUGAUACUUCUGAGAUUCGAACUCUCGUGGACUUUGACACUGGAGACCAAGUCAUUGCCUGUUUUAAUGGCAUUAGGAUUCCAAUGUAGCCAAACUUUCAAAGGAUAUCAGUCUUCUCAUCCCUGAGCCACAAAUUCGCGAUCGGGAUGCUGUGGAAUGGGUCCAACUUUUCAGCGAUCGGGAAUAUUUCUUCAGUACUAGAAGAUAAUUGUAUUUGUCACUGUGUAAUAGAUUCAUUAGUCCCGUCAAAUCAAAUUGAUAGAAUCUUGAAGCGGGCACCUAGGGGUGCCCAUCAAGCACCGAACUUAAAGAUAACCCCCUCGUCCCCCUUCUGUCUCUCUCCUCGGCCCAACUAGGCAACCUAAACCCAACGUCAAUAUGCAUGAGGAGCUCCAGCCACCAUUGCCGUGCUUGUGCCGCCAUCUCCAAUCAUCGUAUCGCUGCUCCUCCAUCCACCGAGCUGGGCCGUGUAUAUUAGCCAAAGGGAGAGACGAAAGAGAAGGGGAAAUCGGGAGAUGGAAUGAAUGGUGGGAUAGUCUCCGUACUCACUAGCACUUCUUCUGUAUUGUAGAAAUAAAAUGCAUGUAGGAGAGAGAGUAGCGAAGGCGAAAAAGAAUUUGCAGCUGUUCUAACAAUUUUAGUAUAGAAAACAUGUAAGAUAAGGAAUUUGAACUUGAACUUUUGGUUAUAUCAGCCUCAAAAUGACAACCAUAAAACUUCAUGGGGGGAGCCCACCCUGAUACUUCUGAGAUUCGAACUCUCGUGGACUUUGACAAUGGAGACCAAGUCAUUGCCUGUUUUAAUGGCAUUAGGAUUCCAAUGUAGCCAAACUUUCGAAGGAUAUCAGUCUUCUCAUCCCUGAGCCAUAAAUUCGCGAUCGGGAUGCUGUGGAAUGGGUCCAACUUUUCAGCGAUCGGGAAUAUUUCUUCGUACUAGAAGAUAAUUGUGUUUGUCACUGUGUAAUAGAUUCAUUGUCCCGUCAAAUCAAAUUGAUAGAAUCUUGAAGCGGGCACCUAGGGGUGCCCAUCAAGCACCGGACUUAAAGAUAACCCCCUCUUCCCCCUUCUGUCUCUCUCCUCGGCCCAACUAGGCAACCUAAACCCAACGUCAAUAUGCAUGAGGAGCUCCAGCCACCAUUGCCGUGCUUGUGCCGCCAUCUCCAAUCAUCGUAUCGCUGCUCCUCCAUCCACCGAGCUGGGCCGUGUAUAUUAGCCAAAGGGAGAGACGAAAGAGAAGGGGAAAUCGGGAGAUGGAAUGAAUGGUGGGAUAGUCUCCAUACUCACUAGCACUUCUUCCGUAUUGUAGAAAUAAAAUGCAUGCAGGAGAGAGAGUAGCGAAGGCGAAAAAGAAUUUGCAGCUGUUCUAACAAUUUUAGAAUAGAAAACAUGUAAGAUAAGGAAUUUGAACUUGAACUUUUGGUUAUAUCAGCCUCAAAAUGAUAACCAUAAAACUUCAUCUAAAAGGGAAUCGAUAAUAAUAUAUAAAAAAAUCAAAGUAUUAUUAAUUAAUUGUUUGAAGGUCUGGCGCAACAAAACUAGCAAGGAAUCACGUGGCUGAGAGAGAGAGAGAGAGAGAGAGAGAGAGAGUUUAAUAAGUCGUAGACAUAAAGUGAUUUUCCAAGAAAUAGGAUGCGAAAAUUGCUGCAGGCGAUGUGGCCCGUGCAAAGAGUCAAGUCGGUUUGGUCUUUCGUGGGCUGUGAGCUGAGAUGAAGACGAAAUGAAAUAUUCUCCCGGUGCACCCGUCAGCAUGGUCCCGGACCAAUCAUGGAAAGCCACGUGGACCGACGUUUUCUGCACCUAAAAUAGUCAUAUUUCUCUCUCAUCCAGCCUGCAUGGUGCCUUGCGCUCUCUCUCACUCUUUCCUCUGCAGAGUCUGCACGCGUUGGUUAUAUUCUCUCCCCUCUUCUUCGUUCUUUCCUUCUAAGAAGGAAAGUCAUUCCUCUCUCAAGAUGCAAGCGAAGGCUUUCAAAUUUUGAAUCACUGCUUUCGCUCUCAUUUGCUACUCCGCGCUUGUCCUUGCUGCUCCGGCAUUGGUCAAGCGGCCACUCCCCGCCGUCACCUGACACUCGCUCGGUCUCUGCUCCGGCACUUGCUCGCGCUCGCUCGCUCUUUGCUCCGUCGCUUCCUCUGUCUCUGCUCCAGCGCAGCUUUCCUUCGUGCAUUAAUCUGCCGUGGCGGCCGAGAUCUGGGAUCCCAUUUCUGCAACCACGUGCAGAGCAAAGUCGACGCCCUCCGGCAAUCCAUCGGUUGCCAUCCCAUCCCCCCCGCCCGCCGCCCCCCCUCUGUCUCUCUCUUCAGAUUCUCGUUCCAUCCACAUAAUUUUUGUUGAUCCCGUAACAAUUUUCUUCUUUCGUGGCAUUUUAGGCUUUGCGCUUCAAUAUUUUUCCAAAAAUAAAUGACGGGCAGAACAGUUUUUUUCUUUUUUUCUUUUAAGAGAGCAGUCUAAGCCAAUGAAAAACCCAGCUAAUCUCAUUUUAAACUUGGUGAAAUAAUUUUGAACUCAUACGAUGUAUGAGAAAGAAUUAAAUUUUAACUUUCCAUUUUGUGUGUAUUGAACAAUUGAUCAUUAUUGUAACGUGGCGUGUUUAAGAAUCUCUUGAAUAUCAAAGUCGUAGAUUGAUUCACCAUUUGACUUCACUAAAAAAAGAGUAUUAUUCUUUGAAACGUGUUCCCAAAAGGAGACUUUUGUUUUCCUUUUGUUUUCAAGCUUUUCGAAUUUUGCUAAGAGGAGCACUUGCUAGACGCGUCAGUAAACAAAAGUUGUCAACUUUAAUGCAUUAUUUUUUUUUCAUAUUAUAAAUAGUGGUGAAUUAAAAAUGAAAAUAUUUAUUUAUUAGGUACGGUUAGUUAGUGCCUCAAGCACACUUAUUAACAGGACCAUUUUCAUUUUAAUGUACUUAAAAAGAUAUGACUUGACAAUUAGGGGAUAUAAAUAAGGGGUAGUGACACCAAUAGUCUUUAUAAUUUUCCUUAUUGUUCAAGGGUAGUCCUAAACUUUUUUUUUUUUUUUAUUGUUCCUUAAAUUUUUAAAUUUUAGAUUGGACUAAAUCAUCACAUUUUCACACCGUUAAUCCCUAUAUUAAACGAAUAAAUAAAUAAAUAAAUAAAUAAAUAAAUAAAUAACUAAGGACGAGAGGUUGAUGGAAGUACCAGGUGGGCAAAGUCUCUGGCAGCGAUGGCAAGAAUGUCAGCACAAGAAACGACGCCGAGGCAUUUAUUUUCCACCAAGGACUUGGGUUUCGCGAUUGUCUCGAAUCCCUCCGCCCUCAAAUCUUUGUUGUCAAUCGCGUCCUUCUCGGCCAGCUCCUUGCUUCCGGGCUUGCUCGAUAUCAAUAUCGACCCUCGCGUCCCUUCCACAGUGGUCAUAACUCAUGCAGAGUCAGUAGUUUCUACGCUAGGAUUAUCGCCCUACUCGAUCGAUUAACAAAUGAACGGCGUUUACCGAUAGUAAUCUCGCUAGUUGAUGAUUCUCCAUGUUUUUCAUGGUAAUUUCUCUCGCUUGCUAUGAAAAUGAAGAGAAUUAUCGACUCGGGACCCAUGCCUGGCCGACUUUGAUUGACAGUUGUGGCGGGUUCGGGGAAUGCAAUAAUAACAAAACACGAAACACUCACCGGAGGGUUGAAUUGAAUUUUUGGUAAGAUUAGCCGAUGAAAACUGUAAUUUCUUAUUAGUGAUGUUGUACACGGACUCAUUCGUGUAGAAACAAGAAUAUGCAAGGAUUCGGUCACCGUAGAUAACAAAAGAUGCUCAAAAUGUGGGGAGCUGCUCAACUGCUAGUGGCAUCUGCCUGAAUAUUGACUUCCUCUGCUGCCAUUGCAUGCACGUGAAAGUAAGUGCACAGAGAGAGAGAGAGAGAGAGAGAGAGAGAUUUUACCUCAACGAAGCAGUCAUGGAAGAAGAGCCGGAUGGUGGCCGGCCCGGAGACCGGCGCUUCCUUGAACUGCUGGCUCGUGACCGACCCGAUGAGUUGCUUGACCUGGGGGCACGACUUGGCGUAGUAGUCAAACGACAUCUGGCGGUGGCGGCCCAUGGCAUCGGCGGCAGCAGCUGCGGUGGAUCGGUUCGGCUGGCUGCAUAUGAGGAUGAGGGCGAUGAAAAGGGUCGAUGAGCAAGNNNNNNNNNNNNNNNNNNNNNNNNNNNNNNNNNNNNNNNNNNNNNNNNNNNNNNNNNNNNNNNNNNNNNNNNNNNNNNNNNNNNNNNNNNNNNNNNNNNNCUCUCUAAUUGACAAGGUGGAGUGUGAAGGGUUGUUGCCUCGUGGGACAGAAUACCCAUGAACAGAGAGAGAGAGAGAGAGAGAGAGAGAGAGAGAGAGGGAGAGAGGAAAAUCAAGACCCGUGAAGCAGAGUCAAAAAGUAAAAGAGCUUGUACACAAAUCAAUAAUAUAAAUGAAAAUCAUGAGGGAUGGAUGACAGCAAGAGGAAAAUGUCUAUGAUGUAAUGCUUAAUGCUUGAUCCUACAGCACAUGGUGAUGCUAACACGUUGUCAAUUUGUUUUUUGGAUUGCGUAUAUGGCAUUCGGAACGCUUAAUGCCGAAGAAUGCAAAAUCGUUCGAUUCAAGUGCAUUGGGUUCCGAAUAAAAAGGUACCUUACAUUAAAUCUAAUUUUUUUUUAGGAGGAAGACAUAAUUCCAACAAGAAUAUAAGUAUCGCAUUUGCAUGAAGCGUGUCUAAUCAUUCAACCAAUUAUCGUACAGUCAUAGUUGAGGAUUCAGAACAUUCUUUGCUGUAUUUAUAAUUUCGCCGCAUUUAUAAUCUCGCGCAAUUAAAAAAGGGGAACAUUCUUCUUCCAAGUGAUAGGAUGUUCAAGACUCCUUUCAUAUAAGUCUCCCUAUCCCACACAUUGCUAAAGCCUGAAGGUCUCGUAAAACCUGAGAGAAUGACCCCAAAAGAUAGCACAUUGAUUCGUACUCAGGCCUCGGUGAAGAAGAAAAUCACCGAAGGGAAUUUUUAAAUGAACAUGAACAAGAAGAUACUAUACACGAUUGUCGUUCAGGAAUUGAGAUUUGUGGACUAGUCGAUUUUUUUUUUUUUUUUUUUUUUUGUGUCGAGCAGUGUCAUCCAACGAUUGAGAGCUAACCAUGUACAGUGCAAAGUUGUAUAAGAUGGUGGUUUUGACAAUUUGGUUGGCUAUCUGGAAAAUGUUUGGUAGUGUUUCUAAAAUAGAAGGCUGCAAAAGCUGAUUGGGGGGCGCAAUUGAAUACCAGAAAGACGCCAUACAAGCGUGAAGCUUCUUAAAUGCAGGGCAUGUGCAAAGGGAAGGACAUCACACACAUGGCGAGAUUCUCUUCACUUAGUCUUGAAAGGGUUCAGGCCAUUUGACUCCAUUGCCUUCCCCCACUGCGCUUCUCUGGUCUGUCUUCAGUGUAAAGUAAGCCUUUCUGAUUUGCGGAGUGCAGUUAAAAGCUGAGGAGGAGGACCGCCCUUCAUAAGUUAUGAUAACAUUUGUUCUCUUAUGUAUGAAAAAAAUUGAAUUUCUGUAAAAAGUUAGGUACUCAGAGAAUUGAAAUCCCACUUACAUACAUUUAUCUCAGCAACCAUUAAGCUCAAAGAAAAGUUGCAAAUUCACGUCAAAUUUGGCUAUCCGAAUAUGGAUUGAGAUAUGAUAAAAUAAUGUGAAAUUACAAAUCUUUUUAAAAUUGUGAAAAUCCCAUCUUUUAUCUUCUACAUCUAAGUUAAGAUUGAAAAUCCCAUCAAAAUGGAAAUGGAAUCAGUGGGGAAGCUUACCAACAAAGGCCUUCAUAUCGAGAGUGAGUUGAUCUACUAAAUUGAAUCUAAGUGAUUGUCCAUGCCUGCAUAUUCCUUUAGACUAUCAAUUGUUUUCAUAGUCCUACUUGAUGAUAAGAGACAUGCCUUAAUGUAUGCACAACGUGAAUGAUGUUUCUUUUGCAGGUACCGUGAUAUUCAAUGUCUAUAACAUUUUACUUCACAAAUUUAAUUUUGGUUUUGGCAUCUUUUUAGGGGAAAAAUAUGACGAACUUAUGGUGCAAAUGAUUUUUUUUUCCCACAGCCUUCUGUAUAGUAAAAGUCCAAAAUUCAAAUUGUCACUGGAGCUGGGAAAAGUAGAAUAUAAGAUCCACUAAAAUCAUAUCGAUGCAAUAAAAAAACCCUUAGGUUUCACUUGGUCUUAGAAAAUAGUUUAAUAGAAAAUUAGAAACGGACAUGUGUCACGAUCUCGUAAUGCACAUGAUCUUUAACACAACCAUACAAGAUGAUCCUCUUCUUUUGUCACAUUCAUUGUCUUGUUUUCUCGUGAAUCAUUACAGCAAAAGAGUCGGAAGGAAUACUUUUCAUAGGUUAUAUCGGAAGAACAGCAUCCAGUCACAUGGCUUAGAUGAUCUAUUUAGUAUUUACAUGUAUUUGUCAUUUUUGGACAAUACAAAACCCUAGAAACUACAAAAUGCUAGUUUGGCCAUUUCACAUACCUGCUUUGUCGAUCGACGGAAAAUGGAUUUGUACGUCUCUUGAAGACACUGUUACGAAAUCGCACGUCGAUUCCAGAAAAAUAAUGCUCGCAAACAAUUCACCAGACAGAAUAUAGUAAUAAAAGAGCAAAAUCAGAUGAACACGCCAGAAAAUUUGUUAUCGAAGUUCACCCAAACUUGGGCUACGUCUCCGCGCAGAGGCACUCUGUGAAUCCACUAGACUUCGGAAAAAGUUGGAAUACAACGACGAUCUUCUCUCAAGAUCAGGGCACAAAGAGAUUGAGAACUCUCAUCAAGAAAAAACUCAAUUUUUUCUUCUCUCUUUUUCUUGCCUCUCUAUUUCAUUUUUCAGCGUCUUGACGGCUAGGGUUUUUCCAUCGCUAAUAUAUAGGUACCACUUUUAACCUAAAAGGAAAUCUAAUAGAAAAGACAAAAAAGCCCAUAAAAACAAAUAUUUGGCUUUAUCUAUAACAAUCUCCCACUUGAAGACAAAUAUACCAAAGCACCAAGCAACUUUGCAUCCAUCUUCUUCAAAAAAUAGUAGUUGAAAAACUUGUGCCUCUGCGAUACUCCUCAUCAAUCAACAUGGAGUAAUACCAAUAGUAGUAGUACAGAAAAUAUGCUUCUCUCUGUCUACUACCUUGGUCAAUAUGUCAGCUGGAUUCUUUGAGCCAUCAAUCUUUUGUAGCUUUAAUUCAUUAUCUUUCAAUGCUGACCUGAUAAAGUGAUAACGCUUCUUGAUAUGUCUAGUUCUUGAGUGAUAAGCUGCAUUCUUUGCUAAGUGCACUGCACUUUGACUAUCACUCCACAGUAUAUUGAUUGGCUGUUUUCGAUGUAACUCCUCCAUAUAAUCUUGUAACCACAUGAUUUCCUUGGAGGCUUCUAUAAUCACUACAUAUUCUGCCUCUGUCGUCGAUAAAGCCACUAUCUUUUGUAGUUGAGAUACCUAACUCACUGCUGUACCUGCAACUGUAAAGACAUAUCCAGUGGUACUCUUACCACUAUCUCGAUCACCUGAAUGAUCUCCAUCUACAUAACCCUACAACUCUAGAGAUGUACCACCAUAACAAAGUGAGUAAUUGGAAGUACCUGCUAGAUAUCUCAAUAUCCAUUUAAUUGCAUUCCAAUGCUCUCUGCCUAGGUUCUACAUAUAUCGACUCACAACUCCCACUAUUCGUGCAAUGUCUGGUCUCGUGCUCACCAUGGCAUACAUCAAACUCCCCACUGCUGAUGCAUAUGGAACUAUCGCCAUCUCAUCUUUCAAAAGUUGAGUGUUUGGACACAUAUCCUUGGAAAGUUUGAAGUGACUCGCUAGAGGAUUUGCAACCAGUUUUGCCUUGUCCAUGUUAAAUCUCUUUAACACCUUGUUCACAUAGUCUUCUUGCGACAACCAUAAUUUAUUAUUUUCCCUGUCUCUGAUGAUUUUCAUGCCUAAAAUAUUCUUGGCAUCUCCCAAGUCUUUCAUAGCAAACUGUGAUGAUAACAUCUUCUUCACUUCUACGAUUCUCUUCAUAUUGGAACUAGCCACAAGCAUGUCAUCCACAUAUAAAUAUAGAUACACAAUGUCACAAUCAUCAUAUUUGUGAAAAUAAACAUAGUGAUCAGACUCACAGUGUGCAAAUCCUUUUUCUUGCAUGAAACCAUCAAAUUUUAAGUAUCAUUGCCGCGGAGCUUGUCAAGCCAUACAAGCUUUUUUUCAAGCGACAUACCAUGUGCUCCUUACCUUUGACUUCAAAACCCUUAGGUUGUGCCAUGUAUAAUUCUUCAUCUAAGUCACCAUGUAAAAAUGUUGUUUUUACGUCAAACUGCUCAAGAUGAAGAUCCUCCACUGCAACUAUACUUAGCAGAACUCUAAUUGAUGUCAUUUUCACUACAGGUGAAAAUAUCUCGGAGUAGUCGAUCCCUUCUUUUUGAGAAAAGCCCUUGACUACAAGUCUCGCCUUGUAUCUAAUACUACCAUCUGCUUCAUUCUUAACCCUGUACACCCAUUUGUUUAAUAAAGCUUUUUUACCUGUGGGCAACUUGGUCAACUCCCAAGUUUUGUUCUGAAGUAACGAGCUCAUCUCGUCUUUCAUAGCACACUCCCACUGCAAGUGAGACGUGUCUGCCUUUGCCUCAUCGUAAGUCUCCAGUUCCCCCGAAUCUGUAUAUAAGACAUGGCUCAGAACAAUAUUAGUUGAUGGAUCAAAAAUUACCUUUGGCUUUCUCACACGUGUAGACCUUCUUAAGACAAGUACUUCAUGGUCAUUCAUUUGCUCCGAAUCACUGCAUUCUUCUUGAACUACCUCUUCACUGAUAAUAGGCUCAUCUUGAACCUCUCUUUCAGGUGAACUUUGAUCUACUGGAAACAUCUUCACGGGCAUUAUGUCUAAUUCAACAUACUCUGGUUGUACUACCUUCUCAUGCUAUGUCUUUGUCUGACGAUCCUUAUACAUCUUUUCUUCAUGGAAUACCACAUUGCGAUUGCGGAUGACUUUGUUAUUCUCAUGAUCCCAAAGCCUAUAGCCAUACUCGUCGCCACCGUAUCCAAUAAAGACGCACUUCUGGGACUUAGCAUCAAGCUUUUUUCUAUCCUCCUUGUUAAUUAAAGCAUAUGCAAUACAACCAAACACCUUUAGAUGUGAAUAAUUAAUCUUCUUACCUGACCACCGCUCUUGUGGUAUUUCUCCAUCCAACGCACUAGAUGAACUUCUGUUGAUAAGAUAAACAGCUGCAUCAACUGUAGCGGCCCAUAAGUGUAGUGGGAGAUCCGCGUGUAGUCUCAUGCAUCUCGCACGUUCUAGAAUAGUUCUGUUCAUUCUUUCAGCUACACCGUUCUCUUGAGGAGUUCUAGGAACAGUUUUUAGCCCGUGUAUACCUUCUCGGCUCAAAUAAUUUGCAAAUUCUUUACUUGUGUAUUCACCACCAUUAUCAGAUUUCAAAGCUUUAAUCUGAUAACCUGUUUCCUUUUCUACCAUGGUUUUCCACAUUCUGAACAUCCCGAAUACUUCUGAUUUUUCUUUAAGAGCAUAGACCCAAGUCUUUCUUGUUGCAUCAUCAAUGAAUGUGACAAAAUAUCUCUUACCACCAUAAGAGAGUUCUUGAGCAGGUCCCCAUACAUCAGUAUGAACCAACUCUAGCUUCUGGCCUUUAUUUUGUCGCCAAUUCAAUUGAAAACUAACAACCUUCUGUUUUCCAUAAAUGCAACUCUCACAAAAAUCUAACUCAACUUUUUGUAAACCCAGAAGUAAUUUCCUCGAGUGUAACUGCUUUACACCUUUUUCACCAAGAUGUCCUAAAUGAUAAUGCCAAAGAGUAGAUAAAUUACUUGUAGCCAUUGUAGUUGCAACCAUAUCACUGAUAUUGUCUCCUUGGAGAAGGUAAAGUGUACCCGUACACUUUCCCUUUGCUACUACUCUUACCCCUGAGGUUAUCUUCCACUCUCCGCAACCAAAGGUUAUUACCAAACCUUCUUGGUCAAGUUUACUAGUUGAAAUUAGAUUUUUCUUUAAUUCCGGAAUAUGCCUAGUUUCAAGCAAAACUAGACGUUCUCCACCUGAGAUGUUCACAGUCACGGUUCCUUUCCCAACAAUUGGACACAUGUGGCCGUUUCCCACAACCACUUGUCCAAAAUCUCCACUGGCAUAAUCAUCAAAUAUGUCUCUUUGCGAGGUGCAAUGAAAAGAAGCGCCAGAAUCAAUAAACCAUUUAUCUGUUGUCAAGUCAAACCCUGCAGACAAACACAAGUUAUCUGGCAAAGAUUUAUCGCUAACUACAUUAGCACAUUGAUUCUCAUCUUGCUGCUUUUUUUUUUGUAGGCUUCACACUGAAACCUCCGGUGUCUGGUUUUGUGACAAAACCAACACUCAUCUUUUGCAACCUGUCUCUUACCCCUUGAUUGUGAUCUGCCACGACCGCUGAAAUUUCAUCUACUUUUACUUCUUCCACGGUUCUCCACUGCAAGUGCCGUUGAAGAUGUAGAUGCAGAAAAAUUAUCUCCACCUGAGACUUUCCUUCGCAUCUCUUCAUCCAUGAUACUACUCACAGCAUCAUCAAGAGUUAAAUCAUCCUUCAUGGUACUUGAAAUUCCCUGCACUGCGGUAUUGUAGCUUUCUGGAAGAGAACAUAAAAAUAAUAAAGCUUGAAGCUUCAUAUAUAAAUUUAUGCUGCGGAUUCCAAUUGACUCGUGACCUGCGUGAAACUAUUAAUAUGCUCUGCCACAGAACCUCUAUCAGAUAACUUCAUAUUAACCGGUUUCUUCAGCAAAAAUACCUGAUUUGAUGUGGAUGGCUUCUCAAAAAUAUUCGUUAGAAUAUCCAUAGCUUCUUUUGCAGUUUUUGCUUUCGCGAUGUGAUACCCUGUCUUUUUCGUCAACCCUAGACGAAUCGCACCUAACGCCUUUCGAUCAAGAAUUUUCCAUCCGGCUUCUGCUGUCGGAUCCACUUCCGCCAUCUCGGGUUUCCAACCCUCAAGUGGUGCAUAGAGAUCUUUUUGAUAAAUAUAAUCCUCUAUUUGUAGUUUCCACCAUCCGAAAUCCUCUCCAUUGAACUUAUCGAUUCUGAUUUUAUCUUCUGCCAUCAUGUUUGCUUUCAAUCGAACGUCACCGAAAACCCUCGAUGUUCUCGAUUAGCCAACCCAGGCUCUGAUACCAAUUGUUACGAAAUCACACGUCGAUUCCAGAAAAAUAAUGCUCGCAAACAAUUCACCAGACAAAAUAUAGUAAUAAAAUAGCAGAAUCAGAUGAACACGCCAGAAAAUUUGUUAUCGAAGUUCACCCAAACUUGGGCUACGUCUCCGCGCAGAGGCACUCUGCGAAUCCACUAAACUUCGGAAAAAGUUGGAAUACAACGCGAUAUUCUCUCAAGAUCAAGGCACAAAGAGAUUGAGAACUCUCAUCAAGAAAAAAACUCACUUUUUUUCUUCUCUCUUUUUCUUGCCUCUCUAUUUCAUUUUUCAGCGUCUUGACGGCUAGGGUUUUUCCAUCGCUAAUAUAUAGGUACCACUUUUAACCUAAAAGGAAAUCUAAUAGAAAAGACAAAAAAGCCCCUAAAAACAAAUAUUUGGCUUUAUCUAUGACAGACACAGCUUGGAAAGUCAAAGUGAGGGGUUGUCGACUCGAAAUGAUAAAAUAUUAUUGUUUUGAUCUUUACACCCUGGGAAAAGAACAAACUACGGCAGAAAACAAAUCCCCUCAUCUUAUGUAACAAUAAUAAAGACAAGUAUCUUAUGGAGGUAGCAGAGAGAAGCUUUAAAAUGACUUUGAUCCGUUCUUUUCAAAGCACCAAUUUUGCACAAAAUACAACAGUAGUUGAAAAUGAGCCAUACAUGUGAUUCAUUAAAAGCCUCGAAGUGAAGAAGGUCAACAAAAUAAUGGGGUCUGAAAGAAAAGAAAAUGUUAUCAACAUGAAAACUCAAAACUAAUAUACAUGUGAUAAAUUUUCCAUGAACUAAUCUUUUGAGUAAUAAAAAUCAUAAACUAAUACAGUUAUGACCAAUUUAUCCUCAUUUAGCUUUCGUUAAAUUUUACCGUUAAAUUUAUAAGUCGGAUGAUACGAGCUAAUUGACGAGUGUCCUGGUUUCAGAUUUUAUUUUUUAUUUGUCACACGUGUACUUGUUUGUGAUUUUUCAUAAUAUUAAUCUAAUUUAACAGAAACUAAAAGAUAUUGGGAUCUUUGAUUGUAAAAAAUUAAUUUGGGAUUUUUCGUGAUAUUAACCCAUAAAAAAAUGAGAAGGAGAAUACUAAAGUGGUGAAAGUGGAGUCCAGACCCAUGCUCGGGAAAUAUCGUCCCACAAUAUCACAUUUCCGAUAAUACGGAAGCUCGGGCUAUCUAAGUAUAAAUAUGCCCAAAUCAACCAUUUGAGGUAAGAGACUUUUGCCCCCACAUCACUCGUUACCGUCCCAAUAACAUUCGCUAAACCUCAUAUUGACUUGAGCGUCGGAAGAUCCCGAAAAUCCAUCCCUAAAGUUAUUUUCUUAUCCGUGAUGUGUAGAGUGUGUGGAGCCACGAGCUAGUCAAACGAGGAAUUCACUUGAGGAAGGUUGAGUUGCGGCUCAAUCCGAAUUCGAUGCGUAGGAACGUUCGAAAAGCCAAAGAACGUCUCUUUAAUCUCAAAGUGAUGAGUGAAAAGCUCGUGAGAAUAUAUGGCUAGUAUAGGGAGAAGUAUGAAUAUACAUGACCAGUCUACCUCGCGAUCAGUAGCGCUGUCUCCCUUUAAUCCCAGAUUGUGGAGUGAAAAGCCGGUGAGAAUCCACAGAUAGGCUAGGAGAAGUAUGAAUAUGUGUGAUCAAUCAACCUCGCGCCACAUGGCCAAUUUGGAUCUUCCAAGAGAGAAAGAGUGUAGCGGAAAGCGAGCAAAAAAAAAGACAGAACGGAAAGAAUAGAUCGGAUAUCAAAUUUACAUAAUUUUAUUAUAGUAAAUUAUGUCUACAGAGAACACCAACAAAUUUUAUUACAAUCACAUCUGAAUCACUAAAAUACUCUGUGUUUAACUUGAAAUUUUUCGUAAAAUAAUCUGUCGAUUUCAUGAAAAUAUUCACCAAUCUUGUCAUAAGGUUUCACGAUUACAAAGACGGUCCCACUCUCAAGCACUCAACAAACGGUGCUUCAAGAUCUGUUCUUUACGUCAACAACGGCGAGGAGACCACGCUGCUUAACCACGCCUUCUAACAAAACUGGAAUAUUUACAUGUGAACCAUGCAAAAGAUCUUGGUCAAAGUCAGAUCACACUUUCCUUGUUUGAGUCUUCUUCUCACGUUGAAAAGUCCAACGCCAAAUCGAACUCCAAUACGAAAUAUAACCAAUAAAGAAUAUAAAAACAAAUCAUUCAGAACUUUAUCCCUCCUCCAAAAGACCUUCAACCGAGUGAAAGUAUCUAACGUGAUAAAUAUUGGCGAAAAUAUUUAAAAGUCAAAUUUCGUUCAUGGGCACAAAUUUAAGACAUAUUUUAACAAAGAGGAUAUCAGAAGUCGAUUCGGCAGUGAAAAGAGAGAAAUGAAGACACUACCAAGCAAGUGUAGGCCCUAAUAACUAGUGAGAUGCUUGAUGUCCUGAUGCGAAAGAUGGACACACCAUCGACACAAAUUAGGUGGAAGAGGAAAAGUCUCAUGUCGAUGAAAUUAUAAUCAAAUUGCUCCUCUCGAUCUUAGAAUGUCUCCUAUUGAAUCAAAUGAUGGGACACUAGAUCGGGGGGUCACGUAGAGACCUUUAAGGUCAUGGCAAUGAUAUAUCGUCGAUAAAUAACUUCAAUGAUAAUUAAAAAUAUAAUGUUAUGUGAUACUUUAAUUGGAGAAAAUUUGGUGAGUCAUGCUUGCUUAGGAUGGGAUUGUUAAACAAGACAAAUAAGAAUUGUACCAAUAGAAAAAUGUUUAUUUAAAAUGGGAAUUUAAUUUGACAAUAGUUAGCAAAUCACUCUAAUUAAGAUUGGCAAAUUCACCUUGGUAAAUUCGAACUAUUGAAAAGUUAAACACAUAAAAAUUAGUAGUUUGCUAAUUUUUACACCAACUAAAAAAGUUAUCCAAAUCUUAUAAAACUGUUGAUAAGUUACCAACAAAUUACUUAGAAAAAAAAAAUCUCUAUUCAUUCUUUUAUCAAUAGCUCUUGACACUCACCAAUGCUAAUUAAAAUUUACCGGCACGAUAAAAAAAAAAGGUCUGCAUCUGUGGGCACAAAACAUUAGAAAUAUGCUAUUUUAAAACUCUCUAAUCGUGCCAAGUACUAUGAGUACCUUACUUAUUUCGAAUUGCUAUCAGCUUACAAUGUUAUGAAGUUUUUGUUGAUCUUCUGGUGGGUUAUUUUGGAGUCUUAUCUUUAAUUGCUUAUGCAGUAUAGCCUAAAGAAUCGAAAGCCUAAUCUGAACAUGAUUUUUUGUUCUAUGUUCAGUAACUUAAGCCUGAAAGCGAGGACCAACAGCGCUCGUUUGCGCAAAUUUCACCCUUCGCUGCUGUAAUCGAUCCUACAUUUCCCACACACAGUAUAGUUUUUGAAAGAGAACGAACAGAGUUCAAAGCCAAACGGCGAAGAAUGAGCAAUUGGCAGAUUUACAAAAACCCUUUUCUUCUUCAAACAUGUGUUUACUAGUUUUACUGUGCAAGAAGAUGUUGGAACCAAAACAAAGAUAAUAAACUUUGCAAACUUGGAAUAAGAACACUAGGAAUUGGAGGGAGAACUUUUUUAUUGAGAAUGCUUUCUCUUCUUUGUGUCUCGUGGACUAUGAUUCGUGACUUGAUUUACAACUCACAACAUCAUUCCUUUAUAUAGGAAUUGAAGUUUACAAAUGCCAAUGAUUACAUUUAAGACAUAGCAACCCACAAAUGUCAAUGAUGGGAGUUUAAUGAAGAAAACAAAAUAAGUCCAUACACGGUAAUCAUAAGCACAGUCAAAACGUAUAAAUAAAGUAAUAUAAGUCUCCAAUAACUUUCAUUUUUGAAGUCCAUACUGCCAAUUGUAAAGCUUUUAUGGCUCUUCUUCAAUGCUUGCAGGUUUCUCAUCCAGCAACCAUUGUCCAAUAAUCAAUUUUAUUUUAUUUCAAUAGGAGAUUCAGCUUUCGAAUUGACUAAGAUUCAAGAAUAUCGACGAGCUUAAAACUAGGCCACUGUACAUCGAUUUAAACUACAAAAUACUCAUCUCCGUCGCACUCAUUUCAUCGCCAGUGCUUCCUUGUUCAUGAUACUGACGGUUCCUUCUCGUGCAGAGGCACGCAAAAAGGAAACAAACCGUAUAAGCGGCGAUGGUGAAAACGAAGAGAGCCCAGAAGCUGUCGAGGCCCAACCUCGGUGUGUCGCUGGUGAAGUUCCUCAUGGUACACUCAGGACGGAACCACUUGUCCUCCAACCUUUUCAUCUCACCGCUCUCUGAAAGCUCCAAAAUGGCCUCAGAGAAGUUUGCAGCGUGUGGAGAGUCUUUUGGGAACGCCUGCACAUGAACGGGAAAGGAGAUUUUAAGUAACAAGGAAGAGCAACUCCAUAACCACUAAUAUCUAAUUUAUGUUUCCACAAUUCCCUUCUUUCUUCUCUUUUUGGCUAUACUAACACCAAGAGAAGUAGUGAUAUUCGAGUGCUAAGUGGGUUUUUGUUUAUAUAUCAGUCCACACUCUAUGUCACUGUUGGGAUUUGGUGUGGUAUUUUAGUUAUUAAGCCCCCCCUUUUUCCUUUUGACCUAGCCUUAAGAGAUACAACACGCAAACUCAGGAUCAUACUUACAAAGCCAAAACCGCCAAAUCUGUAGUUUUCACGAAUGGCAACAUAUCCAUAGCAAUACUCGGUGAAGAAAGCUCUCUCAUAUGGGUACUCCAGAAGAAGAGCGGAGAUGUUGCCACUUCUGAAUUCGUCUUCAUAGCUGGUAGUAUUGCUUAUGGGGACGAUGACAUCCUUCGAGAAGUUCAGCGUGUCAGUCAGAUGUUUACAAACGAAAGCGUCAGGGUCACAACCCACUUUUGCUUUAGAAAUUCUCAGCCAUUCCAUGGUGGUCACAGUUGGUUUGAGCUCCUGGAGAGUGAGCAUAGAGGUGAGGCCGGCCGUAUAACUCUGCGUCAAGAUCAAUGCUACAAAGAACCAAAUCACCAGCACGAUCCGAGUGAAGUUGCGGUAGACUUUGUCCCCUGCAAAAGUCGGCAAUAAAUGUGUUUUUCGUUGAAGGUUUGGGCCCGAAAGCUUGUACACGGACUAUAAUCAACAGAGAGAAGCUACUUACUUUGAGCAAAGAAGAGAGAGGAGAAAGUGAACCAAAGAGCUGUUGAGAGCUGAUUAGUCCAAGGGCCUCUAAAUUCCGGAUUGGUCGGAUGCUCCAAGAACCAAACUACCAACAUUGUGUAUAUAAGGAUGCCUCCAGAGGCAAUCCACAUCAUUGGAGUGAAAGGCUCCAUGAAGAUAAAUGCCCUGUCCGUGUCCAGUUUUGCGGGGACUAUCAUUGAAAGUUCCGAUGCCAUAAACGGUUGUGUGAACUCAACAAACUGUGAGCGACUGGCCAGAAUGGUUAUGUCACCGACUGCAGCGUCGUAGGUCUUCCAUUAAUUUUAUGCCAUGAAACAACAUCAAAGCGAGCCACUUUAGGAAUUGAUACCAAAAUUGCACUAUCAAAUCAGAACAUUGGUAUUAACAGGAUGUGGGGCUUUGACGGUCUAUUAAUGCAAAGUGAUCCAAUCUUGUGAGUGAAAAUUGAUAUCUGCGUGAAAUGAACUUGUUGCUUGGGUUAAUUUAUUCAGGCUCUGAUGGUUUGUGCAUCAGAGAAUGUAACAGUUGAUACUCUACAAUAAGAUCAUGCAUCAAUCAUGCAGGAAUAGAGAUGAUGCGGUACCAUACCUUAUUACGAACUUUGUUAACCAACUCCUCAUAUGUUCCAUCAUGACGAGAAAACUCAUAGUCUAAACCAUCAGGAAAAUGAGAAACAGCCUUCUCAAAAACAUCUAUGCAAAAGCCAAUGUACUUUGCUUUCCCGGUUGUGUCGUCCCUUUCCUCCUUCACAAACUUAUCAAAGGAAGUUUUACCAGGAACUCCGAUCACCAUGGGCUUGUUCUCAACAGAAGUCCGUUCUUCUUGGGUCUUGGAUAUGUCUGCAAUUGCAUAUGCAUUCCUUCUCGAACCUUGUUUUGCCACAAAACUCCUCGAGAAACCGAAAUUGGGGGACCAAGGCUUAAGCUCUCUAUAUUCUUUUCCAUUAACACUCACAAGUUGAAGUUUGGGUCGAUAUGCCAACUGACCAUUCUCAAAUUGUAUUGGCCCGCUCAAACCCAUGAGUCUGGUGUGCGAUAUUCUAUUAAGCAAAAUCUCAGGCAUUAUAUCAUUGCUCGGCCCUGCAUCUAUGGCAUUUUUAACUGUCAUAAUGCAAUCGUAUGCUCGAACAGCAUCGAUUGCUGGCUCAAAAUUGAACUUCUCUCCAUACUUGCGACGAAACAUAUUCAAGAAUUUAGAUCUGAAUCCUCUAUAUGCCUGGUUUUUGGGACGGUAGGUGAUUAUUCCUAUCGCAUCUUCGACAGGGGAGGAGAUUGCUGAAUGAUCUACUGAAGUUAGGAGAUUGGUGAAUGGUUUUUCAGCAAAUAUCCAAAUUGAAUCUCCGUAGAAGAGUCCCAUCUUCUUUG